rnacentral:pre_miRNA from 1 species
UAACUAUUUCCUCCGUUCGGAAUUACUUGUCACAAAAAUGGAUGUAUCUACAAUUAAAAUGCAUCUAGAUACAUUCAUUUCUUAGACGAGUAAUUCCGAACGGAGGGAGUAACAU